rnacentral:rRNA from 1 species
AUACUGAGGGUGCAAGCGUUAAUCGGAAUUACUGGGCGUAAAGCGCACGUAGGCGGUUUAUUAAGUCAGAUGUGAAAGCCCUGGGCUUAACCUGGGAACUGCAUUUGAGACUGGUAGGCUAGAGUAUGGUAGAGGAUAGUGGAAUUCCGGGUGUAGCGGUGAAAUGCGUAGAUAUCCGGAGGAACAUCAGUGGCGAAGGCGACUUUCUGGCUAGAUACUGACGCUGAGGCGCGAAAGCGUGGGGAGCAAACAGAAUUAGAUACCCCUGUAGUCC